GACACUUUGGCCGAGUGGUUUAAGGCGCAGGCCUGCUAUUCACGAGUCAGUCUUCCACUGCACUAGUAUAGUAUAGCCUGUGGGUUCGCCCGCCUGGGUUCGAGUCCCAGAGGUGUCG